rnacentral:rRNA from 1 species
GAUGAACGCUGGCGGCGUGCCUAAUACAUGCAAGUCGAGCGAACAGAUGAGGAGCUUGCUCCUCUGACGUUAGCGGCGGACGGGUGAGUAACACGUGGAUAACCUACCUAUAAGACUGGGAUAACUUCGGGAAACCGGAGCUAAUACCGGAUAAUAUAUUGAACCGCAUGGUUCAAUAGUGAAAGACGGUUUUGCUGUCACUUAUAGAUGGAUCCGCGCCGCAUUAGCUAGUUGGUAAGGUAACGGCUUACCAAGGCAACGAUGCGUAGCCGACCUGAGAGGGGGGGGGGCCACACUGGAAGGGAGACCGGGCCAGACCCACACGGGGAGGGGCAGGGGGGACUUCUGCGGAAAGGGGGAAAAGCCUAAGGGAGAAGGGCGGGGUGAGUAAGGAGGUUUUGGGGAGCGAAAAACUUUUUUAUGGGGGAAAAAAAAAGGUGUAAGUAACAAUGCGCGUUUGGAGGGGCCCUAAUAAAAAGGCGAGGACAACUUAGGUC